UACGUGCUCCGGGGUCGGUGAGAAUCCGAACCGGCGGUGACAGUCCGCGAGCCAAGGCAUUAGCAUCCGAAUCGGAUGCCGCCGCGGCUGAUCCGGUGUAAUUCCGGAACCGACGGUGAUGUGGCAGAGGUCUGGGAACAGGGCUCGGCCGCUAGUCCGGAUGGGAGGCAGCACGAG
rnacentral:ncRNA from 2 species